rnacentral:lncRNA from 1 species
UCUUCGGCUUAAGACUGGGGGGCUUGUGUACCGUCCCGUAUCAGGGCGUUGACUAAGUCAAGGUCAAAGUCAACGACUGGAAAGUCAAAGUCAACUCAAGGUGUCGCCCAGGUGUAGAGACGCCAAGAGGAAGCGUCGCCAAGAUAGAGACAAGGCGUCGCCAAGGUAAGGCGUCGCCAAGGUAAGGCGUUGCCAAGGCAAGGCGUCGCCAAGGCCAGGCGUCGCCUGGGUGGAGGCGUCGCCCAACCAGGGCGUCGCCAGAUCAAACAGUGUAAAAGCAAGGUAACCGCGGUGUGGUUCC